UACGGAGGGUGCAAGCGUUAUCCGGAUUCACUGGGUUUAAAGGGUGCGUAGGAGGGCAGGUAAGUCAGUGGUGAAAUCUCCGAGCUUAACUUGGAAACUGCCGUUGAUAUUAUCUGUCUUGAAUAUUGUGGAGGUGAGCGGAAUAUGUCAUGUAGCGGUGAAAUGCUUAGAUAUGACAUAGAACACCAAUUGCGAAGGCAGCUCGCUACACAUAUAUUGACUCUGAGGCACGAAAGCGUGGGGAUCAAACAGG
rnacentral:rRNA from 1 species